CAAUUUGAUCCUGACUCAGGACGACCGCUGGCGUCGUGCCUAACUCAUGCAAGUCGAACGAGGUCGCCUUCGGGCAAUGACCAAGUGGCGAACGGGUGCGUAACACGUGAGAAACCUGCCCCGAAGACUGGGACAACCACGGGAAACUGUGGCUAAUACCAGAUGCCCCCCGCUGAUCGCAUGGUCGGCGGAGGAAAGGCUCCAGCGCUUCGGGAGGGUCUCGCGGCCUAUCAGCUUGUUGGUGAGGUAACGGCUCACCAAGGCAUCGACGGGUAGCUGGUCUGCGAGGACGAUCAGCCACACUGGGACUGAGACACGGCGCAGACUCCUGCGGGAGGCAGCAGUGGGGAAUCUUGCGCAAUGGGCGAAAGCCUGACGCAGCAACGCCGCGUGGGGGAUGAAGGCCCUCGGGUUGUAAACCCCUUUCAGCAGGGACGAAAUUCACGGUACCUGAAGAAGAAGCCCCGGCCAACUACGUGCCAGCAGCCGCGGUGACACGUAGGGGGCAAGCGUUGUCCGGAAUUAUUGGGCGUAAAGAGCUCGUAGGCGGUUUAGUAAGUCAGAUGUGAAAGGUUAGGGCUCAACCCUAAGACUGCAUCCGAUACUGCUAUGACUAGAGUCCGGUAGAGGAGUGUGGAAUUCCUGGUGUAGCGGUGAAAUGCGCAGAUAUCAGGAGGAACACCGACGGCGAAGGCAGCACUCUGGGCCGGUACUGACGCUCAGGAGCGAAAGCGUGGGUAGCAAACAGGAUUAGAUACCCUGGUAGUCCACGCCGUAAACGUUGGGCACUAGGUGUGGGAAAAGAAGCUCGGGUUCCGUGCCGUAGCUAACGCAUUAAGUGCCCCGCCUGGGGAGUACGGCCGCAAGGCUAAAACUCAAAAAUACCCGAUGGGGCCCGCACAAGCGGCGGAGCAUGUUGCUUAAUUCGAGGCAACGCGAAGAACCUUACCUGGGUUUGACCUGUCGUCAGCUCGUGUCGUGAGAUGUUGGGUUAAGUCCCGCAACGAGCGCAACCCUCGUCCUAUGUUGCCAGCACGUUAUGGUGGGGACUCGUAGGAGACCGCCGGGGUCAACUCGGAGGAARGUGGGGACGACGUCAAGUCAUCAUGCCCCUUAUAUCCAGGGCUGCAAACAUGCUACAAUGGCCGGCGAGAUGCCUUGCGACAUCGCGAGAUGAAGCGAAUCCCUUAAAACCGGUCUCAGUUCGGAUUGGAGUCUGCAACCCGACUCCAUGAAGUCGGAGUCGCUAGUAAUCCCGGAUCAGCAACGCCGGGGUGAAUACGUUCCCGGGCCUUGUACACACCGCCCGUCACACCACGAAGAGUUCGGUCACCCGAAGUCCGAAU
rnacentral:rRNA from 1 species